rnacentral:rRNA from 1 species
CCCUUAGAUGUUCUGGGCCGCACGCGCGCUACACUGACGGAGGCAGCGAGCAUGUCCUUCGCCGAGAGGUGUGGGGAAUCUUGUGAGUCUCCGUCGUGCUGGGGAUAGAUGGUUGCAAUUGUCGAUCUUGAACGAGGAAUUCCUAGUAAGCGCGAGUCAUCAGCUUGCGCUGACUACGUCCCUGCCCCUUGUACACACCGCCCGUCGCUGCCCGGAACUGAGCCGUUUCGAGAAAGCCGGGGACCGACGACUUGUGGGUGCGCAAGCACUUCUAGUCGAUGGAAACCAGUUUAAUCGGUAUGGCUUGAACCGGGCAAAAGUCGUAACA